rnacentral:lncRNA from 1 species
UUCCAGCAGAGUUAGCCACGAGGAGCACAAAUGGUGGUUGCUCAGAAGAACUACAGCGAGCAGCUGCCCUGUAUAAUCCACAACUCGAGAGCAUGAUAAAUGAUGUCAACAGAAAAAUCGGCAGCAAUGUCUUUAUCUCUGCAAAUACUCACCAAAUGCACACUGAUUUUGUCAGCAAUCCUCAAGCAUAUGGUGCGCAAUAGCUUCAGAUUAGACUCUCCACUUCAUUAUUAAGGAUCAUAAAUGCUUGUUGUGAUUUAUCAUGAAAAGCCCUUGUUUUGGUUAAUUUGGCAGGAUUUACUACAUCAAAGAUAGCAUGCUGUGGACAAGGAUCAUACAAUGGCCUAGGACUGUGUACAAUAUUGUCAAACUUGUGCCCUAACCGCGACGUCUAUGCAUUUUGGGAUCCAUUCCAUCCAUCAGAGAAGGCAAACAGAAUUAUAGUACAGCAGAUCAUGACAGGCUCCACCCAAUACAUGAAACCUAUGAACCUCAGCACAAUCAUGGCCUUGGAUUCUAGGUCCUGACGAUAAUUUUGUCAAGAAUCUACCUUCUUAAUCGCCAUAACUUAAUUCAACCCAGUUCCAUUUAUGUUCUUUCAGUUUUUUUUUGUUGCAUUUGUGUUUGCUAUCAUGGGAUUUUAUACCUAUGAGGCUUGAAUUAAAUUAUGUCUGUAAUGUAAGUUGAAAUUACAGCUAAACAGCUUCAUGAAUAAUUGAAAUUUUCUAUACAUUUUCGCACAUCCAUUGUGCUUGUGUUCAUCUCUCCGUGCAUAUUCUUUUUUAAAGUUUCCUCAUGCCGACUUUAGUACGCAUCGAGAGAAUUUCCUUCCUAGCAAUCUUAGGGUGGCUGUACAUACCACUAACAAAAGAUUAUUUUAUUACUGCUUUCCUUAAGAUUGUAACUCUUGAAUGAUAAUAGGGUCACUAAUCAGGCGAUCCUAUACCACCUACUUGAUCAGCAAACACAAGAAUAUAGAAGUUUGUACUGCUCAAUCAAGUUCAUUAAGUGCAGAUGCAGGAAAUUCAAAGAUUUAUUGGAAGGGCAAUUCAAGAUUAAAGUAUUUUUCUCACUAUGCUUAGCUUAGAGAGACAAAUUCCAGUUUCUUGUCUAAAAAACAAAGCAUAUCAAGACUGAAUUGAACAUGUUCAAGGACCACUGUUGUAAUUCAAGUACCAUGAUAAAUGUGUCUUAUGGUUUCAACUUUUUAUUCAUCAUAAUCUUUACAGAAACACAAAGUUUAACUUGAAGUUGUAGAAUCAGAAAGAAUAACCCUUUAGGCCAGUUUGCUAGCUCAUGUCCUUAGUCUUAAAUUAAGUAAUAUUCUAAGUUUUCAGUAGGAAGAAAUCCCAAGACCCAGAGCCAGAAUCAUUUUUUUUUCUUUUUUUAUCAUGGAUAAUCAAUUCUAUUUAGUAGUUUGGUAACAGCAUUGUUUCUAAAAAGGCUCAGGCAGUAAAGGGCAACAUUUUCUUCUAAGAACUACUACAAGUAACACCUAAGGCAUAAUAAACCAGUAGUUUUGAACCAAACUCUGAAUAGAACCAUGCAAGUGCUAUCGACUACCAGCUGAUUCGCAACUGCUAGAGUUGAUUCACCUCCUUGUGGAAUCGAUUUUCCAACACAUUGGACCACUGGCCGAUUCUCUAAUGGCCUCAACAUAGAUUGGAUUGGCCCAAAUCUAAUUUCAGGUAGAUUGUGGAUUCUUAAGUCAUGAUCAAACCUGGGAAAAGACGUAAACGAUCAUUGAUAUCUGUCUAUUUUCAUUGUUGCAGAGGCUGUAUGACCUCGGAGCAAGCCGGGUUCUUGUGACAGGUACUGGGCCACAGGAUUGUAUUCCAGCAGAAUUAGCCAUGAGGAACACAAAUGGUGGUUGCUCAUCUGAAUUGGAACGAGCUGCAUCCCUGUAGAGUCCAAAACUUGAAAGAAUGUAAUUGUA